rnacentral:lncRNA from 1 species
GGCGUGUAUUUUGGUUACUACUAUGUAAAACUUGGAAUUAUAAAACUUAACCUAAACAUCAAUGUUUUUAAAAACUCUUUAGAUAGCAAAUCGGCCAUAAACAAAACAAAAAAAUUUAGAUCGAUCGGUCUAUGCGGCGGCGUGUCUAGGUCCGCCUAAAUGUUAAUCCUCUAUAAAGCGCCUAAAUAUAAAGAUUUUAUUGAACAUUACUAAACACUAACCAAAACCAGGAUCUAAGUUUAACACUUAGAAAGCAAAUGAGAAUGAAUUACGAGUUAAAACCUUAGUACCGACAACGUCCACACAACGGCGGACAAUACCAAGAUCACGAGAAAUAGGAAGGAGUAUCUCGCAAGACUUGAGGACCACGAUGGCUCCGGAGAGGCUAGAGAGAGCGACUUGAGAAAGGAAGUCUUGUGUCCGACCAGCGAGGUUGUUGUCGCAGUACUUGUCAGUCAUCUGAAGAAACUCAGCGGCGCAUUGAAGAGCCGCCACGUUCUGGACGGUGAUUUCAAAGCUAACACCGUAACAGAAUUUAGCAGCUUUCUCGAACAUCUCAGCACCUCCGGGGAUAUCCGAGAGAUCUAUUCUCGUCACGUCACUGUCUUUGGAUUCCAUUAUUAGCUUCCUUAUGUAGUUGCUCUUCGCCACUAGCAUGAACUACAUGAGAUUAAAAGGAAAUUAUAAAUAGAAACUCAUGUUGUUAUUAACCAUUUUUGACCUAGGCAUGUACCUGUAAAGUAAUAAUUUGUACUAAUGUCUCAUAUCGUAUAACAAACUCAUAGCUCAGUACUUUCAAUUCGUUUGUAUGAGUUAUAGACGACAAAACAAAAAGAAAAUUUUUAUCUAUACAAACGAAUUUGCUUCUUUUACUCAUCAAUAUUAGAAGUAUCCUUAGACCCAUGUCUAAAUGGAUUCAACUUCCCAAGCUUCUUCGAAACAGACGAGAAGAAAGUAUGUUUGCUGUUCUUCUUAUUACUCGGUGCAUUCGAAGAAGAAGCUCCUGCUGCAACAUUAUUUUGUAGAUCCGAAACAUACAUCUUCAUCUUCAUCAGCUCACUCCUCAAAUCUUCGUUCUCUUUAGCCAACGAACUAUCACGUGUCCCUAAAGCCUCAGGGACUAUAACUGGUGUUCCUUCUUUGUCUUCAACCUCGCUUCUUAGCUUUAACUGAUCGUAGUAAAGAGCGUGAAGAACGAUGUUCACUGGUAACCUCUUGUUCUGCGAAGCAUGAAGACGUGCAUCGCAAGAAAGCUUGAGAGGAUCCAUUAAGCUACAAACUUUCUCUCUUUCGAUCUCGCCUAGGCUCGGAUGAGCUUUCAAGAAGAUGUCUACCGCUCUAUAAAGAUCGUCUUCUGACUUUCUAGCGGACUUGGGAACUAGGUUUGCUAUCGCGUUGAACUUGGAUACCGUGAGCUCCAAGCAAGUAGCGAUCUCUGCUAAGUAGGAGUCAACGGUCUUCGCAACUCUUUGUAGCGAGACAGAACAUAACCCUUUUUUGCUUUUCUCCUUUUCGACGAAAGCAGAGAUGAUUCUUCUGACGCUGUCUAGAUCUAAUAGUCUCUCGCCGUCGUAGGUGAAAGAAGGUACCAAGAGAUCAUCGACGGUGACGUGUUCAAGAACGGCGGAGAUUCUUUUCUCGACUUCGUUCUUGGAUGCGAGUGAAGUGUUCAAGAAGACGGCGCAACGGAGGAGAGAACAGAGGAAGUUGAUCGGGAAAAGUCCUUUGUCUGAAGGUAAGAGAGAGACGAUUGAUUCCACGAGAUGUCUCUGUUGAGUUCUCUCCUCGGAGUCGUUGUUUUCGGGAUCGGAAAACUUGACUCCUCUGCCGGAAUGGUCUCUGACGAGGUCUCUUAAGGAUCUCUCGGUGUAGGUGAUGAUUGCGGAGGCUAAGGAAGAUGGCUUGAGGCCCUUCUGCUUCAUGGAAGCUAAGACGUCGGCCAAGAAGUUGAUGUUUAAGAUACAGAGCUCCUCUGUCCACCAGUUCGGUGGUGAUCGGCACGGUAACAUUGCCUCGUCGCAAGCCUUUUCAAAACAUAAAUAAAUAAUGAAAAUAUAACACAAAUUAGUUUAUGUAAUAAGCACUACAAAAACUAAUGGAGGCAAACCUAUCUUGCAUAAUUGAUACGUGAGACUCAAGGAACUGAACAAAGAUAUGUUGAACCGAAUCAAACCGAACCGAAACCAAAUCUAAAUAGCUUAUACGAAAAUGAUUGUAAACUCUAGCACGGUUAAUUAAUUCACUUUUGACAUUGAAAGCGAAUAAAAAUUACAACGUAGUAAUUAAUGUAAAUCAUAAGAGCACUUUCAUCCAUAGAUAUUUAGUGAGUAUCUAAGUAAUCGAGAAAAAAAAAAUUUAGUAGAGAGAACAAGAGUUUCUCAAAAAGAACUUAUAAGAUACUCUUGAGAAAUUCUUGUACCUUUUUAAAAUUGAAAGCCUAUUUACAGAAAAAAAUACUCUUUAAGAAAUUAUAAUGUCAUGUGGCAACCUAAGCUUUUUUUUUUAAGAUAAAAAUUAAUUCAAUAACAAAAUUUUAUUAAUAUCAAUUUUCUUAAGUUUAGAACCUUAUGGUUAAUGGAUUCUAGAGUGGCGUGUAUUUUGGUUACUACUAUGUAAAACUUGGAAUUAUAAAACUUAACCUAAACAUCAAUGUUUUUAAAAACUCUUUAGAUAGCAAAUCGGCCAUAAACAAAACAAAAAAAUUUAGAUCGAUCGGUCUAUGCGGCGGCGUGUCUAGGUCCGCCUAAAUGUUAAUCCUCUAUAAAGCGCCUAAAUAUAAAGAUUUUAUUGAACAUUACUAAACACUAACCAAAACCAGGAUCUAAGUUUAACACUUAGAAAGCAAAUGAGAAUGAAUUACGAGUUAAAACCUUAGUACCGACAAC